AACGAACGCUGGCGGCAUGCCUAACACAUGCAAGUCGAACGAGACCUUCGGGUCUAGUGGCGCACGGGUGCGUAACGCGUGGGAACCUGCCCUUAGGUUCGGAAUAACUCCCCGAAAGGGGUGCUAAUACCGGAUAAUGUCUUCGGACCAAGGAUUUAUCGCCUUUGGAUGGGCCCGCGUUGGAUUAGCUAGUUGGUAGGGUAAAAGCCUACCAAGGCGACGAUCCAUAGCUGGUCUGAGAGGAUGAUCAGCCACACUGGGACUGAGACACGGCCCAGACUCCUACGGGAGGCGGCAGUGGGGAAUAUUGGACAAUGGGCGAAAGCCUGAUCCAGCAAUGCCGCGUGAGUGAUGAAGGCCUUAGGGUUGUAAAGCUCUUUUACCCGGGAUGAUAAUGACAGUACCGGGAGAAUAAGCUCCGGCUAACUCCGUG
rnacentral:rRNA from 1 species